rnacentral:rRNA from 1 species
GCAUGAAGUUGGAAUUGCUAGUAAUCGCGGAUCAGCAUGCCGCGGUGAAUACGUUCCCGGGCCUUGUACACACCGCCCGUCACACCAUGAGAGUCGGGAACACCCGAAGUCCGUAGUCUAACCGCAAGGAGGGCGCGGCCGAAGGUGGGUUCGAUAAUUGGGGUGAAGUCGUAACAAGGUAAC